rnacentral:rRNA from 1 species
UACGUAGGCAGCGAGCGUUGUUCGGAGUUACUGGGCGUAAAGGGUGUGUAGGCGGUUCUCUAAGUUUGGUGUGAAAUCUCCCGGCUCAACCGGGAGGGUGCGCCGAAAACUGGGGGGACUCGAGUGCGGGAUGGGAGAGUAGAAUUCCUGGUGUAGCGGUGAAAUGCGUAGAUAUCAGGAGGAAUACCGGUGGUGUAGACGGCUCUCUGGACCGCCACUGACGCUGAGACACGAAAGCGUGGGUAGCAAACAGG